rnacentral:rRNA from 1 species
UCGCCUGUUUAUCAAAAACAUAGUUAUCAGAAGUUAUUAUAAUUUGUUCUGCUCAAUGAAUAUUAAAUAGCCGCAGUACUCUGACUGUGCAAAGGUAGCAUAAUCAUUUGGCUUAUAAUUGAAGUCUUGUAUGAAUGAAAUGAUGGGGGACAACUGUACUAUAUUGUAUAAAAUACCUGAGAAGUGCAAAUGCUUUUAUUUAAAUAAUAGACGAGAAGACCCUUGAUAGUAAAUUUUUGUUGGGGCAACGUAACAGAAAUUACAUGAACAUGAAAUAAAUAUAAAUUACUCUAGGGAUAACAGCGUAAUAUUAAAAUGUUUGCGACCUCGAUGUUCGAUUAGGAAACAAAAGC